rnacentral:rRNA from 1 species
UACGGAGGGUGCGAGCGUUGUCCGGAAUUACUGGGCGUAAAGAGCUCGUAGGUGGUUUGUCGCGUUGUCCGUGAAAACUCACAACUCAAUUGUGGGCGUGCGGGCGAUACGGGCAGACUGGAGUACUGCAGGGGAGACUGGAAUUCCUGGUGCAGCGGUGAAAUGCGCAGAUAUCAGGAGGAACACCGGUGGCGAAGGCGGGUCUCUGGGCCGAUACUGACGCUGAGGAGCGAAAGCGUGGGGAGCGAACAGG